AACCUGCUUGGGAACCCUGUUACACUGUGGAAGCUUUGUUCUUUUGCUCUUUGCAGUAAAUCUUGCUGCUGCUCACUCUUUGGGUCCACACUGCUUUUAUGAGCUGUGACACUCACCGUGAAGGUCUGUAGCUUCACUCUUGAAGCCAGCGAGACCACGAACCCACUGGGAGGAGAGAACAACUCCAGACGUGCCACCUUAAGAGCUGUAACACUCACUGCGAAGGUCUGCAGCUUCACUCCUGAGCCAGCAAGACCACGAACCCACCAGAAGAGCGAACACAUCCGAACAUCAGAAGGAACAAACUCCGGACACGCCACCUUUAAGAACUGUAACACUCACCACGAGGGUCUGCGGCUUCAUUCUUGAAGUCAGUGAGACCAAGAACCCACCAAUUCCAGACACAUCCUUAUUGCCUUCAUGUCUUGAUGCCCCGAGAGCAUAACAGCUCGGGGCAUGCCACGGGUGCGUGGGGAGAUAACACUCCCUUGAAGUACUGGAGUAUAAUCAAACAACUUGGCUCCUGCUGAAACCCGCUCCCACCUGUUUCGGUCCUGAAGGGGACAUUUGGAUACAGACACAGGCAUGAACAGAGGAGAGACCAUGUGAAGAGUCACAGGGAGAAUGCCAUGUGAAGACAGAGGAAUGGAAUUAUCCAUCCACAUGCAAUAAAAUGCCAAAGAUUGCCAGGAAGUCACCAGAAGCUUGGAACAGUCUGGUUUUGUUAUGACUGAUUUGAUUAGAAGUAACAGAUUGAGUCUGGUUGAGAAGAAAGAGAAAUUUAAUAUUGCCAUGCAAGAUUGUUGUAUCCUUGGAUCACAUACAAAAAAGUAAGAUAGAGCUCAAAACUGGAAUGUCACGAGUAUCAUAGAGACCCAUUUGUGUAGUCCCUAGAAAAGAGACUCUAUCUCUGCAUAUGGACCCUAUCUUUGUAUUUCUUAUAAAUCUUGUAUUUUCAUGGCUCAGUUUUUCUCAUCAACUGUGAAAUUGAAAUCUGCAAGUUUAUCUGAUUGAGAGCUUCAUGGUAUUAUGUAUUUCCUUCUGCUCAUUUGAACAUCUUCAAGUGGAGAGAAAUCUUCAAGAAUUCUUGAGAAAAACCUUUCUCCAGUUUCAAAAAU
rnacentral:lncRNA from 1 species